CCAGGAUCACGCCCUGGGCUGAAGGCGGCGCUUAACCACUGAGCCACCCGGGCUGCCCAGGAUGCAAGAAGACGGCCCAGGCUGUGAACCAGGAAACCAGCCCUCGGCGGACACCGAAUCUGCCGGCGCCUUGAUCUUGGACUUUCCAGCGUCCAGAACCAUCAUUGGCCCUGGGGGAAAGCCAGCCACUCUGCUGUGAGGAUACUCUCUCAGCCUGUGGAGAGGCUCGUGUGCUGAGGAAUGAAGACCUCCUGCUAACAGAGACCUUAGCAGGCCAGCCAUGUGGGAGCACUUCUAACCAAAGGCGAGGCCUGGGCAUGACACACAGACCUGGAAGAGUGCGUGGCAGAGAAGGGCACCAUUGUUCCAUGUUCAAGUUGGAGAAGAUGACGUGGGAGGCGGGGCAGGAAGAGAGCCACAAGACUGGCCUUGUGUGAUGUUGGUGCUCCGUCAAACAUUUACGUUGACCAGGACAACGCGAAGCCCCAGCUCUCUUCUUUCCAGCUUACCUCCUGACUCUGAGGAUGAAACCUGAAACCAUCCCGCAGAUGACAGCGGCUGCCCUGACAAGACCAGCCACAGGCCCAGACCACCCAGGCUUUUUGAGGUAAACCAUCGCCCCACUGGUGCCUGCGCAGAUGGACCAGGAGUGAUCCCCUGAAAGGACCUACUAUCACUUUUGCCUCAUUAUAAUACUAACAUCUCCAUCCAGAGAGGAGCCUCCGCCUCAUUUACACAACAUUCAAGGUAUGUGAAAGCCGGUUUCCUUCGCCUGCUCCUGCGACUUUCUGCCCCAUCCGACCCGACCCCAAGGCUUCUCUACCCAACUCAACCUGGUGCAGUUUCUGACCCACCAAGGAGCCAACUCAAGUUGGUUCGGUUAUAAAACCUUGAGGGAGGGAAGCCUUGAAACAAUCCAGAGGUACAUGUUCUUCCCGACAAGGAGGCGCUAUUUGCACGUGAUCAGAUAUGUCAAGGAAAAGGUUUUCAUAGGUCCCGUUAGCUUUCUACAUUCAGUGGGUAAACAGGAAGUAGGAGUAAAAAGCGGCAAAGUUAAUAAUUGAUCAAGCAUGAGGUUAGCAGUGCCUAAAACAAAAACAAAAAAAGAGGUGCCUGAAACAUAAUUAAGUAGGGAACAAAACAACCUGAAGUUAAUAACACAGCUAAUACAACUGUAAUUCAAAAACAGGUCCAGGAACUAGUGUCUGGGCUCACUACCGCCAAUGAUUAUUGAAACAUUUGAAAAAUAAAAAUGCUUCCCCCAUUCUCCUUCAAUUUAAAAAAUAGUUGUUAGAGCAUAUACUCAACUACGUACUACACUGUUCUCCAUCUUGUUAGCCCUCGUUUGGUCGGCUUUGUUUAAUAUGGUAAUCACUAACUACAUGUGCCAAUUAAACACUAGAAAUGUCAGACUAAGGAAUUUUAAUUUAAUUUAAUUUAAUUUUUUUUAAUUUUAAUUUUAAAUAACCAUUUGCCUUUGAGCACUUGAAAAUAGCUAGUGGAAUUGAACUGAAUUUUUUUUAAUUUAAAUUUUAAUUGCCAUGUGUGGCUAGUAGCUACCAUAUGGGACAGCGCAGAUGUAGAGAGAGAAAGUGAGAUGAACAAAUCUACAAGGGCGGCAAAAUAAAAACUAAAGACAAAUCAGUUCAUCCCCAAAACUCCCAGGUGAGUUAGAGCUGGAGGAUUAGAAGGCUUGAAUAAAGUAGUGCUCAAUUCUGAAACAAUUGAUCACCUGAGGUGGCCUGCCCCACCCCCAGGUAUUUUGAUUUAAUUGGCCCAGUGGGAGCCUCCGAGGUGCCCCCCCAUUGUUAACGAUCGCCACCCGGUGAUUCCAAUAUGCAGUCCAGUUUAAGCAUGUAAAUGUGUGAUCCGUUCAUUCUUUCAACAAAUAUAUAUGUAGAUCUUACAGUAUGUUAAAACUCUCCUGGCCACUCCCGACUUUAUCCCAGAGAUCCUGCUUCCAUAGCUCAGGGCAGUGGGUCCAGGAAUCUGUUUACAAACAACUCAGCUUUGCAGAAGAGGGUGGAAAACCAUUUCAAGUUUCCAGGAUAGUAGUAACAGGAUUUAGGCUGUGUUUUAAGAAAAAUUCUACCUGAGUGUAAUAUUGUGAUUUAUUACAAGAAAGACAUAUUUUGUUUUUGGUCUCGUUUCCCGACAGAGGGCUCCUAAAACCCUUCAAAUUGCCUGAAGAGAGCAAUAAAAGGUGUAUUUUGUUAUGUUA